CAGUCGCCGCGGGAACACGUAGGUGGCAAGCGUUGUCCGGAAUUAUUGGGCGUAAAGCGCGCGCAAGUGGUUUAAUAAGUCUGAUGUGAAAGCCCACGGCUCAACCGUGGAGGGUCAUUGGAAACUGUUAAACUUGAGUGCAGGAGAGAAAAGUGGAAUUCCUAGUGUAGCGGUGAAAUGCGUAGAGAUUAGGAGGAACACCAGUGGCGAAGGCGGCUUUUUGGCCUGUAACUGACGCUGAGGAGCGAAAGCGUGGGGAGCGAACAGGAUUAGAGACCCCAGUAGUCCCUGUCUCUUAUAC
rnacentral:rRNA from 1 species